rnacentral:rRNA from 1 species
AGUGAACGCUGGCGGUAGGCCUAACACAUGCAAGUCGAACGGCAGCACAGGAGAGCUUGCUCUCUGGGUGGCGAGUGGCGGACGGGUGAGGAAUACAUCGGAAUCUACUCUGUCGUGGGGGAUAACGUAGGGAAACUUACGCUAAUACCGCAUACGACCUACGGGUGAAAGCAGGGGACCUUCGGGCCUUGCGCGAUUGAAUGAGCCGAUGUCGGAUUAGCUAGUUGGCGGGGUAAAGGCCCACCAGGCGACGAUCCGUAGCUGGUCUGAGAGGGUGAUCAGCCACACUGGAACUGAGACACGGUCCAGACUCCUUCGGGAGGCAGCAGUGGGGAAUAUUGGACAAUGGGCGCAAGCCUGAUCCAGCCAUACCGCGUGGGUGAAGAAGGCCUUCGGGUUGUAAAGCCCUUUUGUUGGGAAAGAAAUCCAGCUGGCUAAUACCCGGUUGGGAUGACGGUACCCAAAGAAUAAGCACCGGCUAACUUCGUGCCAGCCGCCGCGGUAA